CACGUAGGAGCCAAGCGUUAUCCGAAUUCACUGGGCGUAAAGCGCGUGUAGGCGGCUUGAUAAGUUGGAUGUGAAAGCUCCUGGCUCAACUGGGAGAGGACGUUCAAUACUGUCAGGCUAGAGGACGGCAGAGGGAGGUGGAAUUCCCGGUGUAGUGGUGAAAUGCGUAGAUAUCGGGAGGAACACCAGUGGCGAAGGCGGCCUUCUGGGCCGUUUCUGACGCUCAGACGCGAAAGCUAGGGGAGCAAACGGG
rnacentral:rRNA from 1 species